CCCAAGGUCUGGGGUGCAGCUGGGAUCCCCCCAAACCAAGGAUGAGGCCCUCCCGAGCUCUCAGGCAUUGUUUCCGUUCUGUACACACAAGAGUCUUCCCUAAGAUGAUGCCCACACCUUACUUUUCAGAUCAUUAAAUAGCGCCAGGGGGGUCCUUUUGUACAAAAAAGGAGACCUGUCAGCUCUAUGACUUUGGAGUCCACGAUCCCUGCAGGUCUCGGAGCAGGGCACAUGGGUCUGCGAGAGCAGGGAGACCCUUGACCGGAGGGCCCAGGACCCUGAGGUCGGGGGAGCGCAGGCCUCAGUUUCCCAGCUCCAGAGGCAGCUUUGAGAGGGCGGAGAGAUGGUUGGUCCCGCCCCCUGCCGCCCAACCCGGCCCCCUGGCCCCCCGCCCCCCCACCUACUGCCGGUGUGGUGGGCGAGGCUUCAGCGUAGUCUCUUCUGGGCCCCGCCCGGCUCUGACGUUACGGUGGGCGGAGCCUUCCUCGCCCUGCUUUGGCUGUGGACGGCCCGGCCCCAGCCCUGACGUAACGGGGGCGGCCCCGCCGAGCCCCGCCCCUUCCCUGACGUCGCGGUGGGCGGAGCGCCACCCCCGGGCCUGGCAGUGCUGUUCGGUGCGGCGGAGCGCGCGGAGUGAUCGGCGCGGCCAUGCGGAAACCGAACCCGAGCCCAAGCCUGAGCCCGAACCCGAGCCCGAUCUCCGGCGCGGCGCGGCUCCCCCGACGGAGGCGACGGGCGCGGGGCGCGCUCUGAGGCCUGGGGAUGCGCCGCCGCCUCGACCAUGGGCGCCGUCGCCUCCCGGAGGAGGGCGCUGCGGAGCGAGGCCAUGUCCUCGGUGGCGGCCAAAGUGCGAGCAGCCCGAGCGUUUGGCGAGUACCUGUCCCAGAGUCACCCCGAGAAUCGAAACGGUGCAGACCACCUGCUGGCUGACGCCUACUCUGGCCACGACGGGUCCCCCGAGAUGCAGCCUGCCCCCCAGAACAAGCGCCGCCUCUCCCUCAUUUCCAACGGCCGCUAUGAGGACAGCCUCCCGGAGGAGGCCGUCAGUGGGAAGCCGGCCGGCGAGGGCCCCCAGCCCCGUGUGUAUACCAUCUCCGGGGAGCCGGCCCUGCUUCCCGGCCCGGAGACCGAGGCCAUCGAGCUGGCUGUGGUGAAGGGGCGGCAGCAGCGGGAGCGGCACCCCCGCCACCAUAGCCAGCCCCUGCGCACCAGCCCGGGCGGCAGUCGUGAGGACGUCAGCAGACCCUGCCAGAGCUGGGCGGGCAGCCGCCAGGGCUCCAGGGAAUGUCCUGGAUGUGCCCAGCUCGCCCCCAGUCCUUCCCCUCAGGCCUUUGGGCUGGACCAACCGCCUCUGCCUGAGGCCGCCAGCCGCCGCAAGAAGCUGGAGAGGAUGUACAGCGUUGACCGUGUGUCUGAUGACAUCCCCAUCCGUACCUGGUUCCCCAAGGAAAACCUCUUCAGUUUCCAGACAGCAACCACAACUAUGCAAGCGGUGUUCAGGGGCUACGCGGAGAGGAAGCGCCGGAAACGGGAGAAUGAUUCCGCGUCUGUAAUCCAGAGGAACUUCCGCAAACACCUGCGCAUGGUCGGCAGCCGGCGGGUGAAGGCCCAGACGUUCGCCGAGCGGCGCGAGCGGAGCUUCAGCCGGUCCUGGAGCGACCCCACCCCCAUGAAAGCCGACACCUCCCACGACUCCCGAGACAGUAGUGACCUGCAGAGCUCGCAUUGCACCUUGGGUGAGGCCUUUGAGGACCUGGACUGGGAGACGGAGAGGGGCCUGGAGGCUGUAGCCUGUGACACUGAGGGCUUCGUGCCACCCAAGGUCAUGCUCAUCUCCUCUAAAGUGCCCAAAGCUGAGUACAUCCCCACCAUCCUCCGCAGGGACGACCCCUCCAUCAUUCCCAUCCUCUACGACCACGAGCAUGCCACCUUCGAGGACAUUCUGGAGGAGAUAGAGAAGAAGCUGAACGUCUACCACAAGGGGGCCAAAAUCUGGAAGAUGCUGAUUUUCUGCCAGGGCGGCCCAGGACACCUGUACUUGCUCAAGAACAAGGUGGCCACCUUUGCCAAAGUGGAGAAGGAAGAGGACAUGAUCCACUUCUGGAAACGGUUGAGCCACUUGAUGAGCAAAGUGAACCCAGAGCCGAACGUCAUCCACGUCAUGGGCUGCUACGUCCUGGGGAACCCCAACGGGGAGAAGCUGUUCCAGAACCUCAGGACUCUCAUGACCCCUUACAGGGUCACCUUCGAGUCCCCCCUGGAGCUGUCAGCCCAAGGUGCCAGUCCCACCCCCAUGGGGCUGACAUGGAAGGAACGGGCCUUCACAGCCCUGCUGGGGGCUGCAGCGGUCUCAGGCCUCACCACGCUCAUUCUCUUCCUGGUGGAGGCCACCAACGUCCUCCUGCCCGCAGACACCAAGUUCGGGAUCGUGUUCGACGCUGGGCCCUCCCACACAUCACUCUUUGUGUAUCAGUGGCUGGCAAACAAGGAGAAUGACACAGGUGUGGUCAGCCAGGCCCUGGCCUGCCGGGCGAAAGGGCCUGGCAUCUCUUCCUACGCCUCUGACCCUGCACAGGCUGGCGAGAGCCUGCAGGGCUGCCUGGAGGAGGCGCUGGCACUGAUCCCAAAGGCCAAGCGUCAGCAAACGCCCAUGUUCCUGGGGGCCACAGGCGGCAUGAGGCUGCUCAGCCAGAAGAACAGCUCUCAGGCGGAGGACGUCUUUGCAGCGGUCAGCCAGGCCCUGAGCCGGUCUCCCGUGGCCUUCUGGGGCGCUGAGCUCCUGGCUGGGCAGGACGAAGGGGCCUUAGGCUGGGUCACCAUCAACUACGUCCUGGGCCUGCUGGUACAGUACUCCUUCUCCGGAGAAUGGAUCCAGCCUCUGGAGGGGACGUUGGUGGGCGCCCUGGACAUGGGUGGGGCCUCCACCCAGAUCACCUUUGUGCCUGGGGGCCCCAUCCUGGACACCACCACCCAGGCCACCUUCCGCCUCUUUGGCACAGAACACAGCGUCUACACCCACAGCUACCUCUGCUUCGGGCGUGACCAGAUGCUGAACCGGCUCCUGGCCGGGCUGGUGCAGGUGGGCUGCUCUGCGGGAGGGGGGCGGGGCACCCUGCCAGGCAGGUGCUCAGAGGUGCCCCCACCCUCCCCGCAGAGCAGCCCGAGCCUCCUGGUGCGACACCCCUGCUACCACAGCGGCUACCGGGGCACGCUGGCCCUGGCCCCCCUGUACGGGUCGCCCUGCGUCCAGGCCGCAGCCCCCCGAGACCUCGGCCAGAACCUCACUGUGGAGGGGACGGGGAACCCCGGGGCCUGUGUCGCCGCCAUCCGGGGUCUCUUCAACUUCUCCAGCUGCGACGGCCGAGGAGACUGCGCCUUCGACAGCGUCUACCAGCCCCCCGUGCGGGGACAGUUCUACGUGAGCCCCCGCGGCCUGCCCUCAGGGCCAAGCUUCCCCUCGGGGCCCCAGGGCCCGAGCCCAGGGGGCCCUUGGGGAGCCUGGGACCCCAGGUGGGGUGGGGCGGGGCGGGGCGGGGCGGAACCUGGCUCAUCCUGGGCCCCCCGCCUUGCGCCCUGCCGGGCACUUCACCCUCUCCCCCAGGCCUUCUCCAACUUCUACCACACCUUCCACUUCCUGAACCUCACCUCCAGGCCGCCGCUGGCCACGGCCAAUGCCACCAUCUGGGAGUUCUGCCAGAGGCCCUGGAAGCUGGUGGGUGGAUGCGGGCCGCCCGCCCCCCACCUGGGCCCCAGCUCCCUGGGCUGCAGACUCCACCGAGCGGGGACCCCGUCCCAGGCAGUGUGGCCGGGGGGCUGGGGGGCUCCAGGCAGGAGACCCAGGGGCACGCCUCCGAGGGGGGCCAGCCUUGGGGGCCCAGGAGGUGAGGCCUCAUGGGGCUCCUGGCCUCCCGGGCCCCCAGGUGGAGGCGAGCUCGCCCGGGCAGGACGGCCAGCUGCGCGACUACUGUGCCUCGGGCCUGUACAUCCUCACACUCCUGCUCGAGGGCUACGGGUUCAGCCAGGAGACCUGGGGCGGCAUCGAGUUCCGCGAGCAGAAGCAGUCAUCUCCUGUGAUAACAGGACUCCAAGUUGAUGGAUUAAUGCGGCUCAGAGCCCCCUCCUCCACGCAGCCCUCCAGCAAAGACGCACGACACCUAGCCCUCGGGUGACCGGGGGGGUGUCAGGCCCGGCUGAGGGCCACCAGCUGGAAAGCAGAGUGCAUCUUCCUUUGUGCACAGGGAGCCUCCUUUCCCGCCUUUGGGGCGAGCUGCUCCCCGUCAUCCUGUGACUUUGCUGCCCUGCCCUGACCCAGGGUGGGCAGAGGUGGCCCAGGCCAGCCUGCCUCGGGCCUCCCCAGGGUCUUGCUCUCUGAGGCAGAGAUGCAGGGAGGACACAGAAACACAAAACCCAGGAGAUGCUGAGGCCAGAAGGGCGAGUCGAAGGCGGAGCUGGAAGUUGGCCACUCCUCGCUGGAAGAAGCCGACAGCCAUGCAGGCAUCCUUGGUCACUGCCUGGUCAAAUGCCUGGGGACAAAAAUGCCCAUGGAACACCCAGGUCUGUAACCCCGUCACUCCUGUGUCACAGAUGCGGUCCAGGCGGAUGCCCAGCAAUGGAUCAAGGAAUCGUGUUGGCCCCCAUCAUGGCCACCUGCAGGAGAAGGUCUCCCGCGCCCACCCAGGGGGCCUCUGGGUCUGAGGCUGGGUGCACGCGUCACGGCCACAACCCAAAGCCGCCUGGGCUCCCAAGGUGCCCUGUGAUGCACUCAGGGGCAGUUCGGUGGCAGCACAAACCAACCUGUUUACCAUGAGGACAAGGAAACACUCCAUCGCGUUAAUAAUAGUUACCUUCGGCGGGGGGGGGGGGGAGUUAUGCAAGGUUUUUGUCUUUUUUAAAUCCUAGUUUUGGUAGUUCGUACAAAUUGACUCACUUCUCAUCUAUUAGAAUCAGAAAGAGCAAAAACGCUAAAGUCUUAACAUGUGUGUAAAACACAGCUCUUCCCGAAACUAGACUCAGAGAUGACAUCAUCUGUUCCUAAGGAGGACAGCAGCCACCAGUUAAACACAAGCAAGAGGGGGGCAUACAGCAGCUAUCAAGUUAAAUCCAGGCAACUGGAUCGGUGUCAUGGCCAAGUGGGGGGCUUGUUGAAGUGAGUUUGACCCGAGGUUGAGGGUUUGCACACAGUACUGACGUGGCCACUCAGCUCUAGGGAAACCCGUCUGUUGUCCUGCCACACAGAGCAGCGAAAUCGAAGCUUCCGUACGGCAACAGAUUGCAUUCCCAGCUACACCCUUCUCACCCUGUCCAGGUCCUCGGAGACAACCAGUUUUAUUAAUUGUAGCCAUUCCAUCUGCUUUUAAAAAAAUUUCCAAAACACAUGCCUCUGCUACUCCGUCUGCAGUUAGGGUGGAGGAGAAUUUAACACUCACACCCCUCUGCGCAGAACUUCUGUCCCCUCCCUCUGGUUAAAUCAUGGUUUAGAGGAAGUGGUGACUGGAUUGGCCUCACACUGCUGAUUCCAUGGUGUCCAGUGAUCGCACCCCCCUUGUUGAAUAACAUUUUAACACUGACAUUGCUGCUGAGAUAACUGUAGAUUCAUACACAGAUGUGAAGAAUGACAGGGUAGGUCCCUUGAACACGUUUUCAGCAGCUGUCACUGAUGGCCUGAACAACGCGGGAGCCCGGCUCUUUCCAAGGGGGAUUCGGUGUGCUGCUGGCUUUCUGUUGUCACCCGUGAAACGUGCACCACCGUAAUAAACCUGGGGGCUUGAAGGGCGGAGAGUGGCCUUGCCGGCCCCUCGGCGGAG